rnacentral:rRNA from 1 species
GUCUACGGCCAUGCCACCCUGAACAAGCCCAAUGUCUGAUCUCGGAAGCUAAGCAGAGUUGGGCCUGGUUAGUACUUGGAUGGGAGACCACCUAGGAAGACCAGGUGCUGUACGCA